ACGGGGCCCGCACAAGCGGUGAGCAUGUGGUUUAAUUCGAAGCAACGCGAAGAACCUUACCAGGUCUUGACAUCCCGAUGCUUAUUCUAGAGAUAGAAAGUUUACUUCGGUACAUCGGUGACAGGUGGUGCAUGGUUGUCGUCAGCUCGUGUCGUGAGAUGUUGGGUUAAGUCCCGCAACGAGCGCAACCCUCGACCUUAGUUGCCAGCAUUCAGUUGGGCACUCUAAGGUGACUGCCGGCUAAAAGUCGGAGGAAGGUGGGGAUGACGUCAAAUCAUCAUGCCCCUUAUGACCUGGGCUACACACGUGCUACAAUGGGCGGUACAAAGGGUCGCGAACCCGCGAGGGGGAGCCAAUCCCAAAAAGCCGCUCUCAGUUCGGAUCGUAGUCUGCAACUCGACUACGUGAAGUCGGAAUCGCUAGUAAUCGUGGAUCAGAAUGUCACGGUGAAUACGUUCCCGGGUCUU
rnacentral:rRNA from 1 species